rnacentral:rRNA from 1 species
UGGCUCAGAACGAACGCUGGCGGCAGGCUUAACACAUGCAAGUCGAGCGCCCCGCAAGGGGAGCGGCAGACGGGUGAGUAACGCGUGGGAAUCUACCCUUUUYUACGGAAUAACGCAGGGAAACUUGUGCUAAUACCGUAUGAGCCCUUCGGGGGAAAGAUUUAUCGGGAAAGGAUGAGCCCGCGUUGGAUUAGCUAGUUGGUGGGGUAAAGGCCUACCAAGGCGACGAUCCAUAGCUGGUCUGAGAGGAUGAUCAGCCACAUUGGGACUGAGACACGGCCCAAACUCCUACGGGAGGCAGCAGUGGGGAAUAUUGGACAAUGGGCGCAAGCCUGAUCCAGCCAUGCCGCGUGAGUGAUGAAGGCCCUAGGGUUGUAAAGCUCUUUCACCG